rnacentral:rRNA from 1 species
GACGAACGCUGGCGGCGUGCCUAAUACAUGCAAGUAGAACGCUGAAGAGAGGAGCUUACUCUUCUUGGAUGAGUUGCGAACGGGUGAGUAACGCGUAGGUAACCUGCCUUGUAGCGGGGGAUAACUAUUGGAAACGAUAGCUAAUACCGCAUAACAAUGGAUGACACAUGUCAUUUAUUUGAAAGGGGCAAUUGCUCCACUACAAGAUGGACCUGCGUUGUAUUAGCUAGUAGGUGAGGUAAUGGCUCACCUAGGCGACGAUACAUAGCCGACCUGAGAGGGUGAUCGGCCACACUGGGACUGAGACACGGCCCAGACUCCUACGGGAGGCAGCAGUAGGGAAUCGUCGGCAAUGGGGGCAACCCUGACCGAGCAACGCCGCGUGAGUGAAGAAGGUUUUCGGAUCGUAAAGCUCUGUUGUAAGUCAAGAACGGGUGUGAGAGUGGAAAGUUCACACUGUGACGGUAGCUUACCAGAAAGGGACGGCUAACUACGUG